rnacentral:rRNA from 1 species
UCAUACUUGUGUCAAGUGUGAUAACGUAAGGGAAGAUAAUGACAUUACCUUACUAUUAGUGUUGUCCAAAACUGGUGCCAGAAGACUCGGUAAGGCCAGAGACGCAAACGUUAAUCGUCUUAAUCAGGCGUAAAGGGUGUGUAGGCAGCUUUAAAAUUUUUCUUUAUUAUUUAAAUUAUUUAAAUUUAUUUAAUGUAGACUAAUUAAAAAUAAAUUAAUAAUGAUAAAUUAUUUAAUUAUUAAAAUUUAAUUAAAGUAGAGAUAAUAAAAUUAAUAAAAGCUAGAAUCAAAUAGAGGAUAUUUAAAUAAUACUUAGAGGAGGGGUGAUAUCCUUAGAUACUAAGUAGAAUAUUAAUGGUGAAAGCUUUUAUCUAUUAAUGAUUGACGCUGAGAAACGAAGGUGAGGAUAGGAAAUAGGAUUAGAUACCCAGAUACCCCUCUCUGUCAACGAUGAAUGGUGGUUGCUAAUUAUAUAAAUUAAUUGGUGGCGAUGUUAACACGAUAACCAUUCCGCCAUGUGAGUACGACUGCAAAGUUGAAAACAAAAAAAUUAGUCGGUCUCGAAGCAAACGAAGUGAAGCAUGUUAUUUAAU